CCCGCUUCGCGUCCCCGCUCUGUUACCGCUCUUUCCGCUCUCUCUUUACUGCUCUGUCCCCUUCAUGUCGCCUCGCCGUCCUCGCAGCGUCCCCGCUCCGUCAUCCGUCCGCUGUGUCCUCAUUCCUUCCCCGCAGCGUCCCGGCGGCGUCCCCUUCGUGUCCCCGGACUGCGCCCGCAGCGCCCCUGCUGUUGCCUCACCGUGUCCCUGCUCUGUCCCCGCAACUGCAGCAGGGAGGAAACCCCAGCAGUAAGUGAACUCCUUCCAGACAAUGCUGAAGUUCAGAAGUAUAAUCUGUCACUUGUGAGAACAUAAAGAAUUGGACUGGAACCAUUCCAAACUCUUUACUCUAAUUACUGAUUUUUGAAAUAAAAGUGGUGCUGGAGAGUUGAGAUACAAUUUCUGUUGUGGAGCUGCAAUCUGCUUACAGAUACAACAAUGCUUUUCUACCUUUCUGUGCCACAGAUCCCUCUUUUGCUGUAUCAUUCCAGUUUUUCCCUUUCAACUGAACAAAAAUCAGACUAAACGUUGAUUAUUCCUUU